rnacentral:lncRNA from 1 species
UUCAAAGCAAUAUAGUUAUUCUUAUGGAUUAGGAUGUGACGAUGAAGCGAUAUAUUAGGAUACACUCUGAGAAGACCAGAAAGAAGCCCUUUUGAAUCUCGUCCCCUUUCUUGUCGUUUAAUCUCAAAGGCCAAAGCUAGAGAUUAGUUUGAAGAAUUAUGUUAUUCCAAAGCUGCUUUAUUUUUUAAAUCAUGGGGAAACUUUCACAAAGGUCGGUGAUAAAGUUUUCUUCAAAAGCAUUCUAAACUCUACCGAGAUUGUAGCAAGAG